UACGUAGGGGGCAAGCGUUGUCCGGAAUCAUUGGGCGUAAAGAGCGCGUAGGCGGCCCUGUAAGUCCGCUGUGAAAGUCAAGGGCUCAACCCUUGGAUGCCGGUGGAUACUGCCGGGCUAGAGUCCGGAAGAGGAGAGUGGAAUUCCUGGUGUAGCGGUGGAAUGCGCAGAUAUCAGGAGGAACACCUAUGGCGAAGGCAGCUCUCUGGUACGGUACUGACGCUGAGACGCGAAAGCGUGGGGAGCGAACAGG
rnacentral:rRNA from 1 species